rnacentral:rRNA from 1 species
UGCCAGCCGCCGCGGUAAGACGGAGGUGGCAAACGUUGCUCGGAAUCACUGGGCUUAAAGGGCGUGUAGGCGGCCUUCUAAGUCGGAUGUGAAAGCUCCCGGCUCAACCGGGAAACAGCAUUCGAAACUGGAAGGCUAGAGUGCGGGAGGGGCAAGUGGAACUCCAGGUGUAGCGGUGAAAUGCGUAGAUAUCUGGAGGAACGCCGGUGGCGAAAGCGACUUGCUGGACCGCAACUGACGCUGAGGCGCGAAAGCUAGGGUAGCGAACGGGAUUAGAUA